rnacentral:rRNA from 1 species
UACGAAGGGGGCUAGCGUUGCUCGGAAUUACUGGGCGUAAAGGGCGCGUAGGCGGCCGAUCAAGUCAGGCGUGAAAUUCCUGGGCUUAACCUGGGGGCUGCGCUUGAGACUGAUUGGCUAGAGGAUGGAAGAGGCUCGUGGAAUUCCCAGUGUAGAGGUGAAAUUCGUAGAUAUUGGGAAGAACACCGGUGGCGAAGGCGGCGAGCUGGUCCAGCACCGACGUUCAGGCACGAAAGCGUGGGGAGCAAACAGG